GCUGGCGUGGCGUAAAGGUAACGCGUUCCCUUCCUAGGGCUUAUUUGAUCCUCCCAUUUAAUGGCAGGCGAAACUAUAAUAUGAGGGAAAGAUUUGCGGGUUCGAUCCCCGUCGCUAGUU
rnacentral:tRNA from 2 species